rnacentral:rRNA from 1 species
CCCUUAGAUGUUCUGGGCUGCACGCGCGCUACAAUGACUCACUCAGAAAGUUUUUCCUGAUCCGGAAGGAUUCGGGUAAUCUUCAUAGCAUGAGUCGUGUUAGGGAUCGAUCUUUGCAAUUAUAGAUCUUGAACGAGGAAUGCCUAGUAAGUGCAGCUCAUCAGGCUGUACUGAUUACGUCCCUGCCCUUUGUACACACCGCCCGUCGCUCCUACCGAUUGAGUGGUCCGGUGAACCUUCUGGAUUAAGCAGCAAUGCUUGAGAAGUUAGGUAAACCUUAUCACUUAGAGGAAGGAGAAGUCGUAACA